GGGCGUGUGGUCUAGUGGUAUGAUUCUCGCUUUGGGUAGAUCUACAUAGUAGUCUUCAAAUAUGCGAGAGGCCCUGGGUUCAAUUCCCAGUAUGCCCC
rnacentral:tRNA from 1 species